rnacentral:rRNA from 1 species
UAACGGGGGAUUGCCUUAGUACGGCGAGUGAAGCGGCAAAAGCUCAAAUUUGAAAUCUGGUACCUUCGGUGCCCGAGUUGUAAUUUGGAGAGGGCAACUUUGGGGCCGUUCCUUGUCUAUGUUCCUUGGAACAGGACGUCAUAGAGGGUGAGAAUCCCGUGUGGCGAGGAGUGCGGUUCUUUGUAAAGUGCCUUCGAAGAGUCGAGUUGUUUGGGAAUGCAGCUCUAAGUGGGUGGUAAAUUCCAUCUAAAGCUAAAUAUUGGCGAGAGACCGAUAGCGAACAAGUACAGUGAUGGAAAGAUGAAAAGAACUUUGAAAAGAGAGUGAAAAAGUACGUGAAAUUGUUGAAAGGGAAGGGCAUUUGAUCAGACAUGGUGUUUUGUGCCCUCUGCUCCUUGUGGGUAGGGGAAUCUCGCAUUUCACUGGGCCAGCAUCAGUUUUGGUGGCAGGAUAAAUCCAUAGGAAUGUAGCUUGCCUCGGUAAGUAUUAUAGCCUGUGGGAAUACUGCCAGCUGGGACUGAGGACUGCGACGUAAGUCAAGGAUGCUGGCAUAAUGGUUAUAUGCCGCCCGUCUUAAAAACGGGACCAAAAAGCCCGCAAAAAAAAAGGAAA